rnacentral:lncRNA from 1 species
ACCCAUAAUCCAGUCCAGUGACCCUAAAGCCUGGAAGAAGACAAUAGGUCCACAAGGGUUAUCAAGGUCUAUCCGGAGCUUAGAGGAUGGCCAAUGCCGAGCAAAGAUAUUCAAACCAAAACGUAACUGAAGUCAAGGUAUUAAAGAUGAUUAUAAAUGCACAUGAUACUCGCAGGAGAUCAAAAGACCGUUACGAUCCUCCUCGUCAACACCUAUAAAGAGGAGAC